GGUACACUUUGUUAGAGCUUGGAGUUGAGGCCCCAAGCUGGCUGAUGAACUCAAAAGUGUAGGUUGUGUGUGACACGAGUGGCAAGUUUUUGUCAACACUCCACUCUGGCUCAAUGAGUGGAGUUUGGUAGUAAAUUGUGCUACAAAU
ensembl:snoRNA SNORA62 Small nucleolar RNA SNORA62/SNORA6 family